UUUCCUUUACAAGAAAAUCUGCUGCAAAGCAAACCUGUAGGAAACUGAAGAGUAUGAAAAGAAUCAGCAAAUGUACAAAGCUUGAGAAAUAGGGACUGCUGAAAUUUAUUUCUCCAUUAUUUUUUUUCUUUUCACUUGUGGAAGCUACAUGGAGCAAGAGGAGAAUAUCCUGGCUAUGAAUAUGACACACUGAAAGGAAGUCUGAAGUAUCACCAUGAAUCACUAGCAUAAGUCUUAAUAAAAUCAGACCUAAGCCAGGCCAAGGCUCACUGAAGAAAUUAUGAUUACACUGCUGUGACUGAGCAGACACUAGCUAAUCUCUGCAUAAGAAGUCUAGAGAGUUGCUCCUCUCCUUCAACGAAAAGAGUCAUAACAGUGUUUCUUCAAAGCAGCAAACACAGAGGUGGAAAACAGAGCAGCACUGUGCCAGGAUGGUGGUGUUGGGACUACACUAACAGAAAUCCUAUCACACUGGCAGGAAAAGUGCCUCCAUUGCUCUGGAAAAACCUGUGGCCACUAUAUACUCCAGACCCUACAGGGACAGUUUCAGAGGUGUUCGGCUCGUGAGCUCCGUUUCCAUGGGCCAUGCCUGGAUGUGGGGUGUCAGUGUAAUGGCUGGUGAGGACAACGCAACUGCAGGAAAGUGCUGCAGCUGCCCCGGCGUCACUCUCUGCUCAAGUGCCGAAUUGCUCGCUAGAACCAGGCGCCCCAAGGCACUAACCCAGCCACGGUCCACCGGCACUUCACAAGACACUUGAGAAAAUGCAGGGAGAUUGCUGAUAGCACGGCGGCACUUGCAACUUCCACCAGCAAACUGACAGCCCAGGGUUGUCCCUGCACACAGCCGUGCGUUGGGCUCAGUGUCCCCGCUCUGACCCACCGCUCCUUCCCCCCGGCUGCGGGUAGUGCGUGCAGCAUUCCCAGCGAGGCUAGUGCAUCUCCCUGUUUUUCUGCUCUGCCUUCAUCGCUCUUACUCAUAUUUGCCUGCCCUCUUUCGAAGUGAACGGUUGAUGAGUCCGAGCUCAUCUGCUGGAAACGAUUCAUGCAAUACGCGGGCCCAGAUCUGUGAGGGUUGCCGAAGUGCUUGGUUGACACCGAGGUCUGUAAGAGUCAGCACUCAGCCCUCGGGAACGGGAACUUCUGCCACAGCGUUAAGCGCAGUACCGCUCCAGUGGGCUGUAAUAGCAACAGCCUCACAGUUUGUUCUGGAGGAUAUUUUUGCUCCCAUAUCUGAAUCAAAACGCCUGCUGAAAAGGCUGAUCCUAUAUUAGCACUGCAGUGUAUAUAUAUAUAUGUAUAUAUGCUGUCAGCAUGCUGUUCUCAUAUGGCUAGAAGCAUAUCUCCUAGGUACUCAUCCUCCCUUAUCGUAUAAAGAAAAGGGAGAAUAAAAUGUUACUGAGCCUACUGAAUUUCCAGGGAGAAUAUGACUGAGCUUCUCUGCAAUUUACUUACAAUCUGUCAUGUCUUUUUACAUCAAAUUUACCCUUCCCAGUCAGUCUCUGAGGACCAUGCUUCACACUUGUUUGAAAGAACAAAUCAAAUCUAACACACUUUGGGAACAUGGGAUGCUUAUCAUCGCAGUGUGAUUUCUUAAGUACAUCACUAGCAUGUUUUACAUUGGAUCAGCUAUUCCGGAAUUGGCACAGUUGCUGGGCACGUCUUAAGUUUACGUCGGGAUGGCUCGUGUGCUCUUGCAGCCCUCAGUUGGCCUGGAGACGCAUGGACAAGGUGGGCAGUCAUGUGAAAGACAGGAACAGAUCUCCAGCCACCCAAGCCGAAAGGAUUUGGGACCACUGCUGAGAGAAAAUGCUUAGGGAGCCUGUCUUCUUGCCACAUAAAGAAACCCUAAUAUCACCCAAUAUUCAGAAUAAAGAGAGAUUGGCUCCAAACAGCACAUCAUCCAGUGGUAGGAUCACUGUAUCUCCUCCUGUGUGCUCCUCCAUGUAUCUAAAUGAAAAAAGUAUUAAAUGCACAGGCAGAAACCCUUGUAACAGACCAAGAAAAUUGCCCUAAAGAGUUGGGCAGCAGAGACAGACUCAAACUUCCUCCUUGAGUCAGGUAGUCUGUGGCAUGUCUCUGUCUGAACAAGGAGAAGAUCUAUAGGAAAACUGAGGAAAUUAAAGACAUAAAAUGGAAAUGCUGACAGAUUCUUAACUAAAUGAUAAGGUUUUUAUUAGCAGAUUGCCAAAGUUACACACAAGUAUGUAAAAACAGGCAAACAGGUAAACUAUCAGAUAAAACUGCGUUGUGAGAAACAGGAUUUUAAUUACAUUUUAAAAAUAAUGAUGGUUCAUUAUCUAAGGAUCAGAAUGAGAAUAUUAGUGGUGGCUAAAAGGGAAGGAUUUUUCUCUUCCUCAGUUUCCCGCCAUGGAAAAAAGGACUAAUAAUGAAGACAAAACAAGGCAACAGCUUGCGAAAAUGCAGAGUCAAGCUUACCUGUGGCCCACCUCCACACCAAUCUUGUUUACCCAUCAACACCUCAGGAACAAUUUCUUCUUCAUUCACAUUCCUCAACAGCAGCCUUUAUUAUAUGGUGUACCACAUCCUAACAUUAAUUAGCACUUCACUGGCAGGCUAAGUAUCAUUUUUCAAAAGGACUGCAAUUAACAAAAUAAAAGAAAUCCCUUUUUAGUUCAAGCAGCAACGCUUCUUUCACUCUCUUCAAAGUGAUGGUGUCAAAUUGUUGCUUUCCUCUUGCAGCUUGCUGUAAACUAGCAACAAUGGAAAUAUUUUCCAAAGUGUGAUGGUUUUCACUUGCCUAAUGCCUUUCACCUGAAUAUUUUGAAGCACUUAGCAAAAGCAAAGGGUGGGGAAGGAUAUUGAUUUUCUUUGAUUUUCUUCAGUUCAUAGGGGGAGUUGCAGGCAAAGAGGUAGUAAGAAACUUGCCUCAGGUUACAGAAUGACUCAUCAGCAAAGUCAAUAAAACCUAUUUUUCUUGA